rnacentral:misc_RNA from 1 species
GCCGAACCGAUAAGCAACAAACUUAAGUUGGAUUGGUCAUCUCACGACGCGUUCUGUUAGGAUCGCUCGGCAAUCAUCACCCGGGCUUUCUUUCUUGAUCGGCCGG